UACGGGGGGGGCAAGCGUUGUUCGGAAUUACUGGGCGUAAAGGGCUCGUAGGCGGCCAACUAAGUCAGACGUGAAAUCCCUCGGCUUAACCGGGGAACUGCGUCUGAUACUGGAUGGCUUGAAUCCGGGAGAGGGAUGCGGAAUUCCAGGUGUAGCGGUGAAAUGCGUAGAUAUCUGGAAGAACACCAGUGGCGAAGGCGGCUCACUGGCCCGGUACUGACGCUGAUGUGCGAAAGCGUGGGGAGCAAACAGG
rnacentral:rRNA from 1 species